CUGUUACCACUGGUAUAUAUACCUCUCUCCCUCACUCUGUCUUCCUGGGAUCGUUGUGUGUCUGUGUCUUCCCACAACCCAGAGACCCUGGUAGUUUCUUGAGAAUCCAACACAGAGUGGAUUUGGAGAUGGUGUGAUUAGAGGGAACACAACCGACCGAGGGUUGACCUUCAUCAAGAGGUUAUCAUGCAAAAAGAGGAAGAGGAAGUAGAGGAGGACGAUGGACCAAAAGAGAUCUACAAUACUUGGACGGGGGUUGGUGAGUCCAGUGCUUUCACCGAACUUUUGCCUAAAGACUACAGCUAUUUAAAUUCCCUGCGGACGUAAGGACGAGGAGGAGGAGGAGGAGGAACGGCAGUUGUUUUCAAGAGUCAUUCUAAAGGUGGCACAUGUGGAAGGAGGAGAGGCGGGAGAACGGGAGACUAAUGGCAGGAUGAAGAGAAGCUGGUGGCAGCGGGAAUGACUGACAUCCCAAGCGUUGCAUUGGUUUGAUCACAGACAAACAAGACAGUUAUUAUGAUCCCAUUUAGAAGAAAACAAAUAUCUAAACAGCAGCGUUGCCUCAUGUGACCCUCAUUUAUCAUUUUUAAUUUCACUAAGUAGUUUCAGGCAGAUUACCAGGCAACAGCUCUGUGUACCAUUACCAGUUCAGAAAUUCAUCAACCCAGUUAUAAGUAUCCUGAUUGUAAAUCACGGCGUUGGUUUUUAUAUGGCAAUAAAAUGAGAUGAUCCCGUGGUAAUCAAACAUCUAAUUAAAUUAAUUUACCUAUGAUACUAAUGCAGUUAUCCAAAUCACUUGUGUUAUUGACAUGCACUUCAGUGUGUACCUUGCAGUAUAUGUAUAUUCUGUUUACUGUUAAGCCUUGCACCAAAACUGAUUGAAGACUUUUGUCUUUAGUCAGAGACCAAAGACACAUUUGCAGUAAUGAACUGUACACUGGGAUGUCCCCCGUUUACACUUCCUUUCAAGGACACAACUCCAGCAACGGCGCAGCUGCUCUGAGCAUGACUAAUUUGGUGUUAGUUUAGCAGCCACAGCAAGAUGCUAAAACGU